UACGUAGGGUGCAAGCGUUAAUCGGAAUUACUGGGCGUAAAGCGUGCGCAGGCGGUUAUGCAAGACAGAUGUGAAAUCCCCGGGCUCAACCUGGGAACUGCAUUUGUGACUGCAUGGCUAGAGUACGGUAGAGGGGGAUGGAAUUCCGCGUGUAGCAGUGAAAUGCGUAGAUAUUCGGAAGAACACCAGUGGCGAAGGCAGCGAAUUGGCCCUAUAUUGACGCUCAGGCACGAAAGCAUGGGGAUCAAACAGG
rnacentral:rRNA from 1 species